GGGCAGCGGUAUCGGUUUGCCGGGUGUUCGUGGAGUAGAGUAGCCAAAAUUAGUUCCAGGUCGUCAACGACCAUGUACCGCUGCCCAUGUUCGAGCUGGCCACUGUUUGUUUGCACACAUGCGUUCGGUAAUACGAACAGCGGCCACACAGGAGAAACACUUUCUUUAACAAGCAAUUUGUGCUUAGCAGCCAGGGCUGGUCUGUGAUUAAAUGAUG